CCUACGGGGGGCAGCAGUGAGGAAUAUUGGUCAAUGGACGAGAGUCUGAACCAGCCAUCCCGCGUGCAGGAUGACGGCCCUAUGGGUUGUAAAGCACUUUCAGCGAGGAGGAAAGGGUGUAAGUUAAUACCUUACAUCUGUGACGUUACUCGCAGAAGAAGCACCGGCUAACUCCGUGCCAGCAGCCGCGGUAAUACGGAGGGUGCGAGCGUUAAUCGGAAUUACUGGGCGUAAAGCGUGCGCAGGCGGUUUGUUAAGCGAGAUGUGAAAGCCCCGGGCUCAACCUGGGAACCGCAUUUCGAACUGGCAAACUAGAGUCUUGUAGAGGGGGGUAGAAUUCCAGGUGUAGCGGUGAAAUGCGUAGAGAUCUGGAGGAAUACCGGUGGCGAAGGCGGCCCCCUGGACAGAUACUGACACUCAGAUGCGAAAGCGUGGGUAGCAAACAGGAUUAGAUACCCCAGUAGUC
rnacentral:rRNA from 1 species